AUAAAGUUUUAUUAUAAUUUGAAUAAUUAAGUUAAAUUUAAUAUUUACAUGCAAAUUUUUGUGUGAUGGGGGUAAUUUAUUUAAAUAGUGAAUAAUUAGGGGUUUAUUCGCAGUAGAUAAUUUUAAAUAUUAAUGAAAAUUAGAUUUAGGGAAAAUUUUUAAUAUAAACAAAAUUUGUGCCAGCAGUUGCGGUUAUACAAAUUAUAUAAUUUAAUUAGUAAUUAGUGUCAAUAUAUAAGUAUUUAGUAAAUUUUAAGGGGAAAAAUUUAUUAGGUGAAAUUUUAAAUUAUUUAAUAAAUUUAUAAUGACUUAUUAUUUGAGAAAUUUUUUUAAUAGACUAGGAUUAGAUACCCUAUUAUUAAAAAUGUAAAAAAUUAAACUAGAUUAGUAGUAGUUAUGUUCUUGAAAAUUAAAUAUUUUGGCGGUUUUUUAGUCUAUUCAGAGGAAUCUGUUCUAUAAAUGAUAGUCCACGAGUUAAAAGUUUUUUUUUAAUAGUUUAUAUAUCGUCGUAGUUUGAAUAUUUUAUUAGAAUUUUAAUAUUCAAAAUUUAUUUUUUUAAGGUAAAUCAGAUCAAGGUGUAGCGUAUAAAGAAGAAGAAAUGGAUUACAAUAAUGUUAAUUGAGGAGUAAUUUUUUGAGAAAAAAUAUGAAUUUGGAUUUGAAAGUAAUUUUAUUUAGAUUAAUAAAAUGAUUAUGGCUCUAAAAUAUGUACAUAUCGCCCGUCACUUUCAUUCUAAAGUGAAAUAAGUCGUAACAGAGUAGGUUUACUGGAAAGUGAAUCUGGAAAG
rnacentral:ncRNA from 1 species